AUGGAUGAGUGUCCGCACCGCCAUUCCGCCAAAAUUGGGCAGAAUCAAUUUUUAUGCUUCUCAGUCCUGAAAGGUGUGUGGAUGGCAUCUCUGGCACGAAGCUCGACACCAGUUCAUCUGUCUGUGCUGGAGAGGUGGGAGAUUUUGGCUGCCUUUGCUUCCAGUGGGGAAAAGAGGAGUUUCUCAAGGAUGUCUGAUGGUAAGUGGUACAAACACUGUUCUGAGCAUGAAACAGAAUUGAAUUGUAGGAUCAUAAGGUUGGAAAGACCACUAAUAUCAUCUAGUCUGACCAUUAGCUCAUCAUCACCAUGCCUGCUAAUACAUAUCACUCAGUGUGACAUCUACUUUGAAAUUGCCUGGAAAACCAGCUACGUUGUUAAUGGACUUUGGAACAUCAUGAGCAUGUCAUAACCCUUCAACUCCACACAUCGUAUUUCUAUAUCCCAAUUUCACUUUUGGGCAUAUUCUCCCACUUAAUUUGUAUGGAAAAAUCUGAAAGGGAUACGGAUCGAAUGUUUCACUUGAGGUCCCUGUGCCAGGACUCCAGCACUUUGUACUGCACAAAAAUGCAUCGUGAUGGUCAGAGGGAACCUCUGGUGUUCCAGUUUGUGCCCAUUGCCUCUUAUCCUGGCACUGGGAACCACUAGAAAUAGCAAGAUGAAAAUGGCAAGAUGAGAAACAGAUACUUACUGGAGCUGGAAAAAACGAGACCCCAAGGUAGGCAUGCAGUCUGCAGUUGUUAGGACUUGGAUUUGCACUUACUUUUGCUUCCCACUAAAAGCAGUGAAUGAAGCCAGUUAAUAGCUUACCUGCCCGAGGAGCUGUAAUGUCAGACCCCCGGAGGAGUUGGAAGGGCUGCUCUCACCCCUGGAAGAUUCUCGCUGGCUACCAGGUAUUCUUUUAUCAUCACGCUUUAAAGUGAAAGCCCUACAUUUUUCUCUGUGUCCGUAUUGCAGAACAUAACUUGGGAACGUUCUGAAUAGGAACGUCUGACAGAUUGCUUUUUGUAAGGGAUCUUUAGGGGAAAAAAAGCAGUCGUGACCCUCUGCUAAAUGACACCUGCUUUCGAGUGCUGCAUUGACAGGUGAUGCUAUUGGCAGCAUCUCACCUCGCUCAGUGAGUGCCACCAGAGGGACCCCGCGGAGCGGCCAAGUAUGGCCUGGGGGGAGCACAGCACAAAAGGGGUGAUGGGCAGUGGGGAAAAGCAGGCUUGGCGUGGGGAUGGUGAGCUGCUUCCAAGUGAGUGUGGCAAUUGGGGGAAAAAA
rnacentral:lncRNA from 1 species